rfam:Gymnopus luxurians FD-317 M1 unplaced genomic scaffold GYMLTscaffold_26, whole genome shotgun sequence.
GACACCAUGGUCUAGCUGGUUAAGACAUCCAUAACAAGUUAUUAAAAGGAAAUAUCAUCAUUGUUUAUGGAAGGUGAGGGUUCAAAUCCCUCUGGUGUCA